AUGCGGCGCGUGAGGAGGAUGCUGGCGGCUGCGGAGGGGUUUUACACCCAACCCGUGCCCAGAAAGGGGGAGCUGGGGGCUGCGGGGUUCAGGUGGAGCCAGGCACAGCCCCGGGCUUCGUGCUGGGCUUUCACCUCCUGCCAAUUCCCGCUGGAGCCGACGCGGCGAGGACCGAACCGAAAAAGAGGAAGGGGGCCGGGACGGUGCCCGUGCGAUAGGGGAUGUGGCCGGCGCCUUUCCCCUCUUCCCCUCGGGGGGCGGGAAGGGAGGGGAGGCUCCCAGCAACAUCCCCGAGUUUUGGGGCGAUGCGAAGCAGCCCGGCUGGCCCCCCCAAAUUUCCACCUCCCGUCACACCGACAUUACGGCGGGGGGCUGGAAGAGGAGAGUGGGAAGCAGAGCUCGCGUCCUGACCCCGAAGCACAGAAAUCGGAGCAAAACGCGACGAGGGGGAGGCUGGAGGCCGCCCGGCCGUGUCGCGGCCUCCUCCUCCUCCUCCUCCUCUCCUCCGCAUGCUUUUGUCCGAGCCCAAGGUCGGGCAGGGAGAAGCGGAGCACAACAGGGGCACGGGGGGGGGGCCGCGGCAUGCUCCGGGCUGCCCGCGGGGUGGUGGCCACCAGCACCCCCGGGGCCCUCCCGACCCCACGGCGCUGGGGACGGGGGUGCUCCCCGAGCCGUGCCCGGUUCCCCUUUUUCUCUCCUCUCGGUUCUUGCGACGGCCCCGGGAGGGUCCCAGCUUGGUCACGUCGUGUGCUGGGCACCGUGGGCCACAUCCUGCCCGUCCCGGAGCCGUGCACGCAGCGGGGCUGGCGCUGUGUAAUCAAGGGAACGCUAAUUGCCCCGUGAUUCCCUUCCCUGCCUCCCAUCCAGCGAUGGCCUCCCAUCCCCUGGCGGCCUCCCGCUGACGAUCCCGGUCCCAAACCCGUGGGUUUUGUGGGACGUUUUCCUGCCGGGGCCGCCUGCAGACCCCUUAUCAGCGGGUGCCGCGCGCCGUCAGCGCCACCCGUGCCUCGUGGCUCCCCUUCUUUGACGUGCAAUCUUCUAAUUAAUAACCAGCCCUUUGAAAGCGGAGCGCAAACAUUAAUUAAUUCCCCGCCAGGUAGGUAAUUAACAGCGAUGACUCCCAUUUUACUGCCGAGAUCCGGCACCGCGCGCCCGCGGGUCCGCUCCGCACCACCGGGGGUGUCGCCGGGUGCUGGGUGUCACCGCGGCCACCUCCGGCUGCGGGGGAACGAGGCCGGGUGCCAGGAGGCCCGGAGGCCAGCUCCAGCCUCCAUUUGGGAGGAUUUUUCCAGGGGUCCCCGUCCUCUGCGCCCCAUCCUCGCAGCAUCCCCACGACAAAGAUCCCGCUGCAAAAGGUCCCUGCGAUGCCCACCAAGGGGGUGCCACGAAAAACGGGCGUUUUUAGCCUUUUUCUUUCUUUUUUUUCCAGGCGUUUUUGGUUUGGUCAUUCAUUUUUCUCCCCCACCAACUCCGUUCCCGACCCGCCGAGAGCGGGCACUGGAAGUCCCCACGCUGACGUCUGCGCGCGCCGAGCCGGCAACAGCUUGCGGGCGGCCGCUGCGCCUUUACUUAUGGGCCUCCCUAAUUGACUUAAUUAACCAGCCCGUGCUCGUGCAGCGCUGCGGAGCUGCGAGGCCCCGUGCAGCUGCCCCCAGCUGCUCUGUGGGCGCUGCCCUCGCUGCGAUCCUCAGCCCCUGCCGGGUGCCUGCAGAAAAUGGGAAAAUGGGGAAGAUGUGAAAAUCACCCAAAUUCAGCCAAAUUCUUGCUCUCGUGGUGUGUGGGGCAGGGCCCGGCCCUGCUCAACCAGCGCCUCGCUGGGCUCUGUUCCUGUUUCCUAGCGCCUGUGGCUGGUAAUGGGCUGGGCGGGCACCGUGCAAGACGCACCGGGCACUGGGCACCGUGCACCAGGAGCACCAUGCAUCAUGCACCGGGUACAGCACAACGUGCACUGUGCACCGCGCACCGGGCAGCAUGCACCACGCACCGAGCACCAUGCACCGUGCAGUGGUCAGCAUGCACCGAGCACCAUGCACAGGGCACCGUACACCAUGCAGUGGUCAGCAUUCACCGAGCACCACGCACAGGGCACCGCGCACCAUGCAGUGGUCAGCAUUCACCGAGCACCACGCACCGAGCACCACGCGCUGAGUACCACGCACCGGUCAGCAAGCACUGAGCACCAUGCACCAAGCACCAUGCAGCGGUCAGCACGCACCGAGCACCAUGCACAGGGGCACCGUGCACGGGUCAGCAUGCACCGAGCGCCGUGCAUUGCACUGAGCGCCGUGCAUUGAGCACCAUGCACCGUGCACUGUGCACCGUGCAGCGGUCAGCACGCACCGAGCACCAUGCACAGGGGCACCGUGCACGGGUCAGCAUGCACCGAGCACCAUGCAUUGAGCACCACGCACCAUGCACUGUGCACCAUGCAACGGUCAGCACGCACCGAGCACCAUGCACGGGGCACCAUGCACGGGGCACCAUGCACCGAGCACCGAGCACCGAGCACCGUGCACCGGCCGCUCCCCAUUUCUGCACUCUGCUUCAAAGGGACAACGGGGGGGGGCCGUGCAUCCCCCCCCCCAAACAAAGCAGUGCCAAAUCGCGGCGGGGCGUUGCACGCACCCCCCCCCCCCCCGCCCCCCAAUAAAUAAAUAAAUAA
rnacentral:lncRNA from 1 species